UACAGAGGUCUCAAGCGUUGUUCGGAUUCAUUGGGCGUAAAGGGUGCGUAGGCGGCGUGACAAGUCACUUGUGAAAUCUCCGGGCUUAACUCGGAACGGUCAAGUGAUACUGUCGUGCUAGAGUACAGAAGGGGCAACUGGAAUUCUCGGUGUAGCGGUGAAAUGCGUAGAUAUCGAGAGGAACACCUGCGGCGAAGGCGGGUUGCUGGGCUGAUACUGACGCUGAGGCGCGAAAGCCAGGGGAGCGAACGGG
rnacentral:rRNA from 1 species